CGGGUGAGUAACACGUGGGUAACCUACCUUAAACUUGGGGAUAACACUUGGAAACAGGUGCUAAUACCGCAUAACCAUCAAAACCGCCUGGUUUUGAUGUUAAAGAUGGUUCUGCUAUCGCUUUAAGAUGGACCCGCGGCGUAUUAGCUAGUUGGUGAGGUAAUGGCUUACCAAGGCAAUGAUACGUAGCCGAACUGAGAGGUUGAUCGGCCACAUUGGGACUGAGACACGGCCCAAACUCCUACGGGAGGCAGCAGUAGGGAAUCUUCCACAAUGGACGAAAGUCUGAUGGAGCAACGCCGCGUGAGUGAAGAAGGUUUUCGGAUCGUAAAACUCUGUUGUCAGAGAAGAACGUGUGUGAGAGUAACUGUUCACGCAGUGACGGUAUCUGACCAGAAAGUCACGGCUAACUACGUGCCAGCAGCCGCGGUAAUACGUAGGUGGCAAGCGUUGUCCGGAUUUAUUGGGCGUAAAGGGAACGCAGGCGGUCUUUUAAGUCUGAUGUGAAAGCCUUCGGCUUAACCGAAGUCGGGCAUUGGAAACUGGGAGACUUGAGUGCAGAAGAGGAGAGUGGAACUCCAUGUGUAGCGGUGAAAUGCGUAGAUAUAUGGAAGAACACCAGUGGCGAAAGCGGCUCUCUGGUCUGUAACUGACGCUGAGGUUCGAAAGCGUGGGUAGCAAACAGGAUUAGAUACCCUGGUAGUCCACGCCGUAAACGAUGAAUGCUAAGUGUUGGAG
rnacentral:rRNA from 1 species